CGGUUUUCUUUGAUCUCCGCCUCCUGUCUCUCCUCCACUCUGCUCUUUCCUCUUUUGGAUGUGAUGUAAUGCAAAAGUCGCUGGGAAAAAAGUGAUUUUGAAGAUGCCCGGGCCUACAGAACCAGGGGCCCCCCAAAAUUUCCACCCAGCCCCCCAAAAAUUUACUCCCUUGCAGCUCCCCUGAAGGCCACCGGAGCAUAGUUUGAAAACCCAAUAUAGAAACACUGAUUAUAUGUUAGAGAGGCUGCGAAAAUAUUGGAAGCAGUUAACCUCAUCUACCGUCAUCUUCUCCACCUGCUGCUAUGCUGCUCAUGUUCUCAUGCUGAGUACCAUGAGGCUUAUCAGACCCUGCACACUCCUGUGAUCAUGCAGAGUGGCUAUUUCUGUGUCAUCUGCAAAGCUGCAUGAGAAGAAAAUUAUACAUACAAGUACCAGACAAGCAGGAUUCUUGAAGUCCUGUCAGGGCAGGUUAUACCCUUCAGUUGUGGCAUGCAUUUCUCACUCAGGUGGUCUGUGAAGUGGAUUUCCUCAGAUGCAUACUCAUCCCAAUGCUCAUCAAGGUUUAGUGAAGGACUAAAGUGAAUCAGUACUGGAUAUGUUGUCGGCUAUUAAUAAAUGCACUAAGCUAAAAGUAGUACAGCAGCAAGUUAGUAUAAUUGUAAAAAUGUCCCCCUUCAGGUCAUGGUACACAUGUCUGUUUGUUGUAAAAUCUUUACAGAUUUGUAUAAAGUAAAUGUAAGAAUAUCUUUUAUAUUGUUAGUAAUAUUUCAAAAUGAACACUUGCUUGACAAAACGAACACUUAAUGUUUAUUUGUAUAUUUCUAAAUCACCAUUAUUGCAUUGAAUUAUAUGUUUUUCUCCACACCAUAAAAACUACACAUCUUUGAUAAUAAAAGUAAGCAUUUAAAUCAUCUUACUAAGCCAUUAUGGGAGAUAUAGAGUGACAGCUGAUAUUUAUAUGAAUUUGAUUUAAGUAGUCUACUGUGCACAUUGAUUUAAAUUAAUAUAUAUUCAAAUUUCAACUUACUUCUUGCCCAUAAAAAUAUCAGCAGCUGCAUCAAAUUUUGCAGUUUGAGCCUUGAAAUAAAACUGACUUUUUUAUUUAAGCCAUUAAAGUCUGAUGUGACACAAAAAAACCCCAAACUUACUUUGAAUAAAGGUUCA